rnacentral:sRNA from 1 species
AAGAUUUGAUAUCCAAUUAUAUACUAUACUAGAUAAGGCCCGUCUAUUUAAAAACAUAUU